rnacentral:lncRNA from 1 species
CUCAGGUGAUCUGCCCACCUCAGCAUCUCAAAGUACUGGGAUUACAGGCGUGAGUCACCAUGCCCAGCCUCUUGAAUUGUUUUCAAUGAAGUUAUACAUUCAUUUACCUCCUUGAAUAUUUUAAACAUAAAUGAAGGCUUUGGUACAGGGAGCUAUAAAAUUUUAAUUUCAUCUAGGGUAAAUAUAGAUUUCAAUUUUGAUUUUGAGGGCUGACAUACAAUUUUGAUUUCCAGGCUUUAUUUUUUGAGACAGAGUCUUGUUCUGUUGUCCAGGCUGAAAUGCAAUGGCGUGAUCAUAGCUCACUGCAGCCUCGACCUCCUGGACUCAGGCAAUCCUCCCACGUCUGGAGUAGCUGCAACUGCAGCUGUAGUGGUAAACUCCCUGCCACUGCUUCCUGCUUCCAGCCCCAGAGAUCAGCUAUUUAAGUCCACAGAAAUGUUUAUUUUUUACUUUGGAGUCUGACUGUGCCUUUUUUGUUUUCUCUUAUGAUUUAGCUGUCAUUGCUGUGGUGUUUGGAGCAGAGAGUGUUCAAUGUGAGCUUAUUGUGUCAACUGGUUAACUCAUAUGAUUAAAAAUUUUUGCCUUACUAAUGUCACAAGAUAGAUGAUCUGGUGGGAAACAAUUAGAAAAUAAAAAUAAAAGAAACAAUUAGAAAGUAAAAACUUCUUUUAUUGGUAAGCAAUUAGUAUUGCUUACAUUGAGAAAAUAAACAUUUGUUGUGUUUGCAAAUCUUAGUCCAGAUGGACCUUCUUUCAGAAUUUGUUCUACUCUCACUACCAGUAUGAUCAUCAGUCGGGAGAAAGUAUCACUGGUCUUGGCAGCUGGUGGCAGGAUGACUUUGCCCUGAUCAUUUCAAGUUUUGGUAUGAAAUGGAGAUUGUGCCAUCCUUAUCUACCUCAUUGGCGAGAACAUGUGUUAAAGCUCUUUGAAAUACAUUGGGAUGCUAUAGUAUGGUGAGUGCUAUUACUAAUGCUCCUUGUUUAUACUCAUUGGAGAGGACAGCAUUGUGUGGCCCAGGGAAAUAGUUUUGGAAGCAGGUGGAUCUGUGUUUUGAUUCUGGGUUUCCCUUAUUUUUUGUGUGAUCUUAGCAGGCAAGUCAGUUAACCUGACUCAUCGUGAAAUGAUAUUAUACUGUGUGCUUUUUUUUUCUGUUUACCUGGGAUAGGACGUUGGCUUCCUCUUUGUUUCCUAUCACCCAAACACUUCAUUAGUGCCAAAUUCCAUCUCGGAGUUAAAUGAGGGGACCUAAAAUGCCCAGGGCACUUUGCCCAUUAUCAAUCUUAAAUGUGGUUUCUUUUUCCAGGGCUUUAUCUAUGUGAAGCUCUUCUCAUAUUUGCUUUGCCUUUCAUUAUUUCUUUUUAUUUCUUGGGUAUAGGGCCCUAGAACUUGAAAGUGUUUCUGAGGGACAUGUCCAAGGGCCCAAGGGGACAGAGGAAUAGAUCAAGCUCAGCUAUCUCCUGUCCUAGCUCUGCUGCCUUCUCCGCCUACCAUCUCCAACCAUCCCAAGGGCAGGUGUUUGUGGUGAGCACACCUAUGGUGCUGGCACUUUGUCAUCUCUUCUUACUAUCAUAUUUACAUGUACUGGACCAGGAAGCAAUGUAUUUAGACUACGGAACCUCUGUGAGGGGAUAGAGAAUUCAGAUGAGGUAUGGUAGGUAGGAAUGUCAUUCCUGCCCUGCUGAGAGGUGACUGUGCUUGACAUAUAUGAAUCUGGACUUGGCCACAAGGGACUGGAAGAGGGAACUCUGAGACCUUGGCUGGUUUUAGCUUCCUCAUUGCUGAAAAGGGGUGUUGCUGUUGAUGGUGGCUUGAAGUCCAUGGCUGAGGGAAUGGCACUUUUGGUUGCUCUGGCUUCCCCUGUUCCAGGGAAGGCCCUGGUCCUCAUGCAGCGGUGGGGAUUGGUGGCUCUUUGUUGGGUCUCAGGGCAGGAUAUCUCAGGAUGAUAUUGCAAUCCCUUCCCUGACUCAUUUCUUCUUUAAAAUGGCCUCUUGAGAGCCUUCUUUGGCCAUCUGCUAGGAAUCUGACCAAUACCAAUUACUUUCUGAAUUUUUCUUGCUCUAAAGUCAAGAAACUAAGAUGGAGUGACCAGUAUCAAUAUACUUUCCUUUUCUGGUUUCUGGGUGAAGAAAGAUUAGCAUUGCUGGAAGGUGAGAUGGUUAUAUUAAAUUCAUUGCUUCUAUGCUAAAUCUUGACAAAUAUGAAAAGCAAAGGGAAAAAGGGGAGGGGAUCCUAACUCAAGCCUGGAAGCUUUUGAAUGGCUGGAAAAUCAUUGCAUUAAGACACAAUAAACAUCAAUCUGCAGGUAUGUUAUAAUUUUAUUUUUUUAAGAUAACAUUGACUGGCUGUAACUGCUUUUGUAUCGAAGCAGGGAAGCCGUACCCGAACUUGAAAAUCUUUCAUCUGUUAUCCCUAAUACAUACUCACAAGCACAUCGCAGUCUUGAGGAAGUACAAUUAAAAAGGGGGUAAUCCUUUUUUCAAGUCCUCAGGUUUAAUUUUCCUGAUUAUGGUAGAUUAUGAGUCAUUCUGGGUCUUGGUCUCCAAGAGAGACAGCGCCUUCCCUUCAGUCCCUUUCAACAGUUGUUUAUGGCAGUUUCAGCCUCUUUCUGCCGCUCGGAGGCUCUUUAUUUUUAAAGCAAGGCAGACAAGGCCUAAAAUUAUUCCAUUAAAGAGGGGCAAUUUUUGUAAUGGGACUUAGAGUGCUUUGCAGAAGUGCAGGCAAGUUUCUUCAAUAUCCUGAGCAUUAUUCGCUCAUUUAGUUAAAUGAUGUUUCUAAUUCCCUGGUAAUUACAUGUAAUGAGGCACUUUUUCUCUUCUUGAUGAGACUUUAGCUUAAUAUGAGAUGGCGUAUUUUUUUCUUUUUUUCUUUUUCCAUGGGGAUAAUUACCCCUUCCCAGGAAAAGCAGGGUUUGUUGUGCAGAAUAUAGCAAAUUAUUUUAUUUCCUGCCAUCUUGACUGCCAGUAAAUUAUAAAAUUAAGUUUCAGUGGCGCAUUAGCACCAUUUUGGAAAAGGCUCAAGACUCCAUUUUUUCUUUUUCUUUUUCUCUUUCUUUCUUCUUUUUUUUUUUUUUUCAAUUCAUGUACUGCUUUCCUCUGGGACUGUAGAGGCUAUUAUUCAUAGAACAGAUUUUUUUUUCUGCCAAUUCCUAGUAUUCAGAUGUAUUGAAGCAGCAACAUAGGUUUAAUUUUUCUGGAUGGUAUCCAGCGUAGAAUGUUCUUAUAAGCGUCUUUGUGUUCAGGUAAUUAUCAUCAUAAAGUUAAGUAAUAUGUCCCCUCUUUUCUCUGGUCUCCUCUCACUCCUCCUUUGGAUGUCAAAUUACCUAUUUUUGUGCAAUGCUUUAAUUAGGCGCAAAGCAACUAAAUUUGAAUCACAUGAAGGUGGUGACACCAACUAUUAAAAGGCAAGAAACUCAGUUAAUAUAGUCACUCUACUUAGCUCUUUCUGUUGUUAAAAAGCAAAUUCGAGGAAAGAAAAAUAUGGGGAGAGCAUCAUUUAAUUAAGGACAAUGUCAUGCUGAACUUUGGUUUUCUGGAUUUAAUUAUUUUUACCAAUUUUAAGAAUUAUAUGUUUGUGUGUGUGUUUGUGCAAAUGCACACUUCUGCCAUUUUUUAUUUUUGUUUGUGCAGAAGAAACAUUUCUUUGGAAGAAGCAGCCAAAUGAGAUGAAAAGAGGAAAAGAGAGCUUUGGCCGGGGAGCCAGGGGGCUGGAGUUGUAGGGUAGACUCCAUUUACUCCCACCUGGCUGUGUGCUUCGGGCAAGACAAUCUUUUUGAGCUUCAGUUCCCUCCUGUGUAAAAUGUAUGAGUCGCAGCAGAGGAUCUCCAGUCUUUAGAAACUUGAAAGAUCUUCCUAUCAGUUAGCAAAAGAACCAUGUCGUUGGGGUUAUAGCAAAGUAGCCCAGAUUUAAAGUUUGAGGUUGGAUUGUUGUUGUCAUUUUUUGCCCCCCACCACCUGCUCUAUCAUCCCUUGUAAAGAUGCUGGUUCCCAGGGAUCCAGGUGCCCCCAUCUCCUGUCUUGCUGAUGGUCGUAUGGUUCCUGUUUGGGUUCUACUAAACUUCUAGGCCUGGAAAGUAGGGAGAUGCCACCAGUGCCCUGUCCACGCAGGAUCAGUGUUUCAGGUGCGAGUGAACCAGGGUCAUUCGCUGCAGAGGGAGAUGCCACCCAGUGCCCUGUCCACCCAGGAUCAGUUUCAGGUGUGAGUGAACCGGGAUGCCCUGUCCAUACAGGGUCAGUGUUUCAGGUGUGAAUGAACUGGGGUCCUUCACUGCAGCCCUCAGUUUCCCUUGAGUCAUGGGUAGCCUAAUAUUUUCCUUUUCUUGAGGGCAGCCGGAGAAUUUUUUUGUUUGUUUGCAUAUUUGAAAUCAACAGCAGUGUUCUGAAAAUAAUACCGUCCUUUUCAGAUAAAUGUCAAAAGACUGAUGUGAGCUGAUUUCUUCAUGUUUGGGGAAUGGGGAAUGUUUACCAAAAUGAUAAAUCUUUCUCACUUGUAUAAUUAGCCUGCAAUAAAAACCUCCCAUCCGGAGUUUUUAUUUUAAGAAA